rnacentral:rRNA from 1 species
UCGAGAAUCUUCGGCAAUGGGCGCAAGCCUGACCGAGCGACGCCGCGUGCGGGAUGAAGGCCCUCGGGUUGUAAACCGCUGUCAGAGGGGAUGAAGUGUACGAGAGCUAUCUCUUGUAUUUGACAGAGCCUCAGAGGAAGCACGGGCUAAGUUCGUGCCAGCAGCCGCGGUAAUACGAACUGUGCGAACGUUAUUCGGAAUCACUGGGCUUAAAGGGUGCGUAGGCUGUUACCUAAGUCAGGUGUGAAAUCUCUCGGCUCAACCGGGAAACUGCGCUUGAUACUGGGUGGCUAGAGUGAGGUAGGGGUGUGUGGAACUUCCGGUGGAGCGGUGAAAUGUGUAGAUAUCGGAAGGAACGCCAGCAGCGAAAGCGGCACACUGGGCCUUUUCUGACGCUGAGGCACGAAAGCUAGGGGAGCGAACGGG